GACAGAGGUGGCAAGCGUUGCUCGGAAUCACUGGGCUUAAAGGGUGCGUAGGCGGUUGGGUAAGCAUUUUGUGAAAGCCCCGGGCUCAACCCGGGAACUGCAGGAUGGACUGCCUGACUUGAGGCGCGUAGAGGUCACUGGAACUCUGGGUGGAGCGGUGAAAUGCGUAGAUAUCCAGGGGAACGCCAAUGGCGAAGGCAGGUGGCUGGGCGCGUCCUGACGCUGAGGCACGAAAGCGUGGGGAG
rnacentral:rRNA from 1 species